ensembl:lncRNA
UCCCUUACUAAGCCAUAAGGCCGCUGCUGUAUUCAGCGCCAGCGAGCAUCCAAGACACGAGAGAAAACGCGCGGGAAGGGGAAGCGGGACGCCUCGUGGUAAGGGAGCCGCUUGCCAAGAAACAGCCCCCGCCUCCAGGACAACGCCGGUCCCGGGUGCCGGAGGCCGUCGCCUCCGCCGACCACGGGGUGGCCAGCCUCAGGCCUCCCUUCACCUACCCGUGCCUGGGGCGACCGUCAGGAAGAAGCGGCAACUGUCCUCGAGUCAGCAGCCAGCAGCAGGCGAAAGGGGGGGGCUCGAGAUUCGGGGCGGGGCUUUCCCAUCUUGCCCGGAGUCCCCUCCGCAGCAUCACUUCGCGCCCCACCCCCUUCCUCUUCGCUCCCAUCCCGCCCUUCUUCCAGCCAAGGUCUCUCCCUUGCCCACCACGAACUUGCUACGGGAAGUGACGCCAGAAGCUCUGGCCUCGCCGCCGACCAACCGUAGCAAAAAGCAGAGCCAGCGGACCCAAUCAGAUGCCGCUAAAUGGGCGGCGCUGUCCAAAGCCUCAGCCCCACCUUUUUCGNGCUGUUCGGCGAGUUAAGGAAACCCCUUCACCGUCAGUCACCCAGGCAUCUACGCUGCCAUUGGAGGAGACUGCCAAAAGUCCCGCCCGAAUGCUAGAUCAUGCUUUGUGAUUGGACUGGUUGCCUCUCCUCUGUCAGCCAAUCGUUCCGUACCUGGUUGGUUAGGCGCUGUGACUUGCGAAUGUGUCCGUCUUCCUCUCCCCUCCCGCCACACAGUCUCAGGCGGGAGAAAGUUGUUCGGUUCUUCCCGCCUACGGGCCAUGAAGAUAGAAGGUACUUAAGCAAAGAACCAUCUGUACGCGGAAGCUGUGGGAACGGAAAAAGCUUUGUUGAGGAGGGCUGAAGACAAUGAAGAGUUCUCUGACACCUUUACCAUUAUGGCGUAUUAUUUGUCUUAAUACCUCAAGAAAAUGGAAUUUGGUGUCUUUCUAAUCAUAUUUUGUCAUGGGCGUUGUUUAUUCACGCUUAAAUAUUUUUCUCUACCAUUGCUCAUUGUACUCGUAAUUAUAGUAGUCAUUUAUUUAUGACCUUUCCUUUUUUAAAAGAAAGGCUAUUUACAAAAACUUAAGACAAACGUUCCAAAUCAAAGCAAACAAGCCCCACUCUUAAUAAUUUUUGUGAUGCUCAGAUUUUCAUAGAAUCUAAGGGCCUGUUUGCNCUUACUUUGUGGGGCAGUCAGUGGAUCACUCCAACUGUUGCUGCAGUGCAGCUCACCCAGAAUCAACCAAGCUCUUCCUGGAGAAAUCCAGCUGUGGACAACUAAAAUGUAAUUCACAGACUGAUCUGUGGACAGAUCUGCACCCUCUUCCAGCUGCUGCAUGCCAGGGUGACUGCAGCUGGCCAGCCACGCAGACAUUUGCAGCUGCCAGAGUGUCAUGGCAACAUUCAACNAUGCACCAGAAGUUUUCCAUGGGGAUUCCGGCCAGCAAUUUGCNCUGCUAGCCUGGUUCAGAGCUAUUAUAGUGUUUGACAUGAGAAUGGCUGCUGCUGCACUGGGUUUUUAUCUGCCUAGUAUGGCAUUCUUAUACCAUACUAGGCAGGUUAAAAGCCAGUGCAGCGAUGGCCAUUCUCAUGUCAAACACUAUAAUUGUUAUACCAUACUAGGUUGGUAAGUGCAAACUCAACCACAGAAUUGUGGAGUUAGAAUGGGCUACAAAGAUCAUCUAGUCUAAACCAUUGCAAUGUUUGAGAAAACAAACCAUUGUUGGGAAGCAGCUGUGCAGUCUCUUGAAAACCAGCAAAAAUGGAGAAGUUAUGGCAUACACAGGUAAUCUAUUCCAGCGUUGUGUGUAGCUUACUGUCAGGAAAGUAUGCCUUGUAUUCAGUGGAAACUUAAGGAGUUUUUAUCUCUUAUUUCUAGUUCUAGUAUUUAUGGCUAUUUCUGCACAAUCUUUGUAUCCUAGGACAGGGUGGGCUGCCCUGUCCUGGGAUACAUAACUGGCCCCAAGCUGGGACAGGUUGCUGCUNGAAUGGAACAGAGUCAUUCACCUUCAGACAGCUCAUUCUGCUUCACAUGCAGCUACUGCCUUCAAAGAACCCUCAGAGGCAUUUCCAGCCUGACUGGUUUGGGGGAAGACCCACUUUUGGCACCACUUCCUGGAACACUGUGAAAAAGAGAUCCCCACGGUAUAGCGCACCACAGAGGCGUGCUGUCCACAUACCUCCGUGGUCUGGUAUUCCAUUCCUGGGCUGGUUGUAGACCUCAACUCUUUGACAGAUGUGGAUGAAAUAUGCUGGGGAUGGGAUCUGUCUUAAUCUGCACUGGCAUGCAUGGAGCAGCUCCAUGUUCUGGAAUUUGAUCUGGAAUAACUGCAAGUGUAGAAAUGGCCUAUGACUCUGGAGAACAUUUCCUCACCAUUUUUCCUUCACACUCAUUUGUUUUGCAGCAUUUAUAUCCCACUAUUCAUCUGAAGGUCUCAGAGCAACUCACAAUAUUCACUAAAGCACCAAACAGUUGGCCAAAGCAAGCAUCAGUUCCCAAGCCAAGUGGCAUAGCCUGGCUCUCUGCUGCUCAAAAGCAGCCAGGCCCCACGGCCUUCAGUCCAAGCUGGGGCUGCCUAGGCCCAGCAGCAGAUCCAGCAAUUGACAUACCUAGACACUGAUAUUAAGCUUCCCUCAGUCUACUCCAGAUCAAAUGUGCCAAGUUCCUUCAUCCUGUCCUCAUGUGGCAUGUUUUCAAGUUCUUAUAUGAUCUUCCUUACCCUCUUCUGAACCUUCUCCAACCUGUUUUGGGAAAUCCAAGGCUAAACACAUGUCUAAGACAUGCUUGUAAGCCUUCCCAAUGCUUGAAUGGGAUCUAUACGUGGGCUAACUUUCGCAGAGGUGAUGGUCAAUCUUUAAGGGGGGAGGGGAGCAAAAACCAUGUGUCUCGAUGAAACAUUUUAUUAAAAUACUAUUAAAAUUAAAAGAAAUAUACAAGCCAAAACAGAGGAGNAGAUUGAACACCAAAUGGUGACCUUCACUGUCUUGCUUGUGGCAAUACAAUAAAACAAACCCAGCANAGAUGUGGAACUCUCA